rnacentral:rRNA from 1 species
ACGUAGGGGACAAGCGUUAUCCGGAUUUACUGGGCGUAAAGCGCCCGUAGGCGGCUUAACAAGUUGGAUGUGAAAGCUCCCGGCUUAACUGGGAGAGGUCAUUCAAAACUGUUAGGCUAGAGGAUGGAAGAGGAGAGCGGAAUUCCCGGUGUAGUGGUGGAAUGCGUAGAGAUCGGGAGGAACACCAGAGGCGAAAGCGGCUCUCUGGUUCACACCUGACGCUGAGGGGCGAAAGCGUGGGGAGCGAACGGGA